UAAAGAUUCAUCGCUGAUAGAUAGGCAUGCGUUCCAUUAGGCAGUUGGCGGGGUAACGGCCCACCAAACCGACGAUGGAUAGGGGUUCUGAGAGGAAGGUCCCCCACAUUGGUACUGAGACACGGACCAAACUCCUACGGGAGGCAGCAGUGAGGAAUAUUGGUCAAUGGGCGUAAGCCUGAACCAGCCAAGUCGCGUGAGGGAUGAAGGUUCUAUGGAUCGUAAACCUCUUUUAUAAGGGAAUAAAGUGUGGGACGUGUCCUAUUUUGUAUGUACCUUAUGAAUAAGGAUCGGCUAACUCCGUGCCAGCAGCCGCGGUAAUACGGAGGAUCCGAGCGUUAUCCGGAUUUAUUGGGUUUAAAGGGUGCGUAGGCGGCCUUUUAAGUCAGCGGUGAAAGUCUGUGGCUCAACCAUAGAAUUGCCGUUGAAACUGGGGGGCUUGAGUAUGUUUGAGGCAGGCGGAAUGCGUGGUGUAGCGGUGAAAUGCUUAGAUAUCACGCAGAACCCCGAUUGCGAAGGCAGCCUGCCAAGCCAUGACUGACGCUGAUGCACGAAAGCGUGGGGAUCAAACAGGAUUAGAUACCCUGGUAGUCCACGCAGUAAACGAUGAUCACUAGCUGUUUGCGACACAGUGUAA
rnacentral:rRNA from 1 species